rnacentral:rRNA from 1 species
GGCGAAGGCAGGUCUCUGGGCCGUUACUGACGCUGAGGAGCGAAAGCGUGGGGAGCGAACAGGAUUAGAUACCCUGGUAGUCCACGCCGUAAACGGUGGAUGCUGGAUGUGGGGCCCGUUCCACGGGUUCCGUGUCGGAGCUAACGCGUUAAGCAUCCCGCCUGGGGAGUACGGCCGCAAGGCUAAAACUCAAAGGAAUUGACGGGGGCCCGCACAAGCGGCGGAGCAUGCGGAUUAAUUCGAUGCAACGCGAAGAACCUUACCUGGGCUUGACAUGUUCCCGACGGUCGUAGAGAUACGGCUUCCCUUCGGGGCGGGUUCACAGGUGGUGCAUGGUCGUCGUCAGCUCGUGUCGUGAGAUGUUGGGUUAAGUCCCGCAACGAGCGCAACCCUCGCCCCGUGUUGCCAGCGGAUUAUGCCGGGAACUCACGGGGGACCGCCGGGGUUAACUCGGAGGAAGGUGGGGAUGACGUCAGAUCAUCAUGCCCCUUACGUCCAGGGCUUCACGCAUGCUACAAUGGCCGGUACAACGGGAUGCGACAUGGCGACAUGGAGCGGAUCCCUGAAAACCGGUCUCAGUUCGGAUUGGAGUCUGCAACCCGACUCCAUGAAGGCGGAGUCGCUAGUAAUCGCGGAUCAGCAACGCCGCGGUGAAUGCGUUCCCGGGCCUUGUACAC